UAGAGGGAACUAUAGUCCAGCUUUAUCAAGUUUUCUCCCAGCCGUGGCUUUCUCCGACUAUAACAUUAGUCAGAUGUGGAGUGUACGGACACUGUUGAAAUUGACAAUUUUGAGCCAAGCACACUGCAAACUUUGCUCCGCGAAGAUUUGCACGUUGUGAGUGUGUUCAUUUAUUGUCCGGUCUUCGAUAGGUGGGAACUGGGGCCAACGUUCCUUGGAUUCUCAGUUCAUAUUCAAACACCCGACGUUGACUUGUUUCGAGGUGUUAAAUUAGUCAGCGGACACAUUCGAUCUGUCUGCUCUGACUGUUACGUUUCCUUUUAGUUAAGGAAACUACCUACAACAAUAUUGGCUGGGACUGUGUUUCCAUCCAAACACUGUUCGUGUUUGGACGUUAUACGCAAGGUUAACAGCUA
rnacentral:rRNA from 1 species